UUUUGCAUAGUUGCAUGCGUGAAGAUUAUGCAUGAAGAAGCAUCAAUGACUGACUUUUCUUCGUUCGUCGUGGUAGUCUGAGGAUGAUGGCAUGGGCGGGAGGAGGAAGAAGGGCAUCAAGGAUAAGAUCAAGGAGAAGCUCCCUGGUGGCCACGGCGACCAGCAGCAGACCACUGACAACACCUACGGACAGCAAGGUCAUACGGCAGGGAUGGCCGGCACUGGCGGCACCUACGGCCAGCCGGGACACACCGGAAUGGCCGGCACUGGGACGCAUGGCACCGACGGCACCGGCGAGAAGAAGGGCGUCAUGGACAAGAUCAAGGAGAAGCUGCCCGGACAGCACUGAGCCCGGCCCACGGCCGCUACUUGUGAAAGUUUGAGGUGCCGGUCUGGGACAC
rnacentral:lncRNA from 1 species